rnacentral:lncRNA from 1 species
AGUGCAGUUUAGAACAAAGCACUAUGAUUACUUUUACAAGGGUAUAGUUCUAAAGAUCAUGACUGGAUUGGAUUUAUCAUGCAAUAAGCUAACAGGUGUCAUCCCUUCUCAAAUUGGAGACCUACAACAAAUUAAAGCCUUGAAUCUAUCACAUAAUUACUUGUCUGGUCCUAUUCCAAUAACUUUUUCAAAACUUACCCAAAUAGAGAGCCUUGACUUAUCAUACAAUAACUUGAGUGGUAAGAUUCCUUAUGAACUAACCAAGUUGACCUCUUUAGAAAUCUUCAAUGUGUCAUACAACAACCUUUCUGGAACACCACCUAGCACAAGACAAUUUGCAAACUUUGAUGAGUACAACUACAGAGGUAAUCCCGGUCUUUGCGGACAACUCCUAAAUCAAAAGUGUGAACGUGUCGAGUCUUCACCUUCAUCACAAUCCAAUGACAAUGGAGAAAAGCAAACCAUGGUGGACAUGAUAACAUUUUAUUGGAGUUUCAUAACAUCUUAUAUUACAAUACUAUUGGCCUUCAUAACUGUGUUGGGCAUCAAUCCACGUUGGCGUAUGGCCUGGUUUUAUUACAUCAGUAAGUUUAUGCGUAGAUUCUUUCCAUCUUUUCCAUUAUAUUGAUGAGUGUCCAUAGUUCCUGUUGAAACUUUAUGUGGAGUCUAAAAUAUUUGGAUACUGUAUUUUUUAUAUUUACCGUUAAUUCCAGACAGUUUGAGACAUUGGCUUUUAAGCUCCUCUUGUCAACUUUAUGUUCAUCAUGUUGUUUGUGUGAUGUACUUAUCUGGAGAACUUUGAAGAUAUUGUGAUAUAUUAUUUUUGAAGAUCCAAGAGUUCCUCAAAUAGCUCUGAGACCUGUUUCAAAGAUCCAUCAAAUGACGUUCUGCAGCCAUUGACCCGGCAGCAGCCAUUGAUUCUGUGACAGGCCCUAUGCUAGAGUAUUAUUGAAAAGACGAAAAGAAAACGAGCAAAAACUGUUUUUUACUCGAGAGCAUGCUCUGUCGAUGGAAUCAUUCCCUUCUAGAGAGCCUUGUGUACAAUACUAACUCCAAUGCCAUUAAUAUUUGCCUUUAGUUUUCUUUUGUCAAUAAUAAUUCUUCAAGCACCAAAUCGGUCCAUGUCUAAGCCACUCAAAUUAAUCACUAACUCUAUUAAUAUUUCAAAUUAUUCAUUUUUUUUAUCAAAAGUUUCUGAACCAGAUCCUUCGACAUGUGACAAAAACAUAAAGAAAAGGUUCUAAUUGACAAACUUUUGACUAAGUGCUUUUGUAAGUAAUUCAUUAUGAGACCCUACGUUUUACAGUUGCUUUCAUAAUGUUAUUGUUUUUUCAUUGAAAGGUUUAGCUCUCGUAUUAACACUUUAGUUGUUUUCUAUAAAAGUAACUUCUUAUAUUUUUCAAAUAACUGGAAUGUCAAUGUAGGUUGAAUCUGGGUGCAGAACUAUGACAGAAGCGAUAUUACGAGUAGAUUUACACAUUUGUCUUAAAAUGACCGAAAUUAAUAAAUAGGUAAGAGUAUAAUAGAAAAAUUAGCAUUAAUGUUUUAUUGUUACUGUAAAACAAUUAUUUUUUUAUUUGUCCUCGUGAGUUUAACUCAGUUGGUAUAGAUAAUGUAUAAUAUAUGUAAGGUCCAGGUUCAAAUCCCAGCCAAAAAAAAAAAAAAAAACAAUUUCUUUUUUCUUUCCUGAAUUAUAAUUUGAGAUGGAGAGAGUAUUAAUUAAACUAGUAAUGUUAACAUACGUAUUUAAUCUUGCAAGAUAACAUUAGCAUCUUUGUCAAAUAUCAUCAUCUCUAGUCAACUCCAAGUCUUUCCUGAGGUUCCAGGAAGUUUCUUGCAAUUAAAAAGUCCCAUCUUUUUUUUUUUAGCAAAGACAAAAUUAAUGCAUUUCAUUCAAAAACAAAAAGUAACAAAGUUGAAGGUACACUAUAAAAAAGAUGGGGGCUAAGAUGAGAUAAGGAAGCUCUAGCUAUACUAUGAGCAACCCUAUUAGCUUGUCUCCUAAUAUACGACACUUUAAAGUCGGUAUUUGUAAACAAGAGACCUCUACAUUGAGAAAUAAUGUCUCCAACUUCAUUGAGGUGAGCGGAGGUAGUGUGAAUGGCAUCAGCAAGGGUCAUACAAUCUGUUUCAAAGCGGACAGUUUGAAAUCCCAAAGAGAUUGCCAAUUUUAUCGCCUCCGACAAUGCAGUAGCUUCAGCUUCUAAAACAGUCAUCGAGGAUGGAAAAAAUGCAGAUUUUGCAAUUAAGAGUUUCCCCUCCGAAUUUUGAAAACAGAUUUCAUAUCCAACAAUUGAUUAUGGUGGAAAAUUGCUGCGUCAACGUUGCAUUUUAUCACACCGGAAGGCGGUUUAACCCAAGAGAUGAUGUGGUUUGAAUUUUGAACCUGUAGUUUAGCUCUUUACAUACAAGUCCAUUCGUGGAGUGUAUCCUUUGCUCGAGUAAUAACAACAGUGGCUGGUGUAUUGGAAGACUCCCAAAGUCCCAUCUUUUAGUAUAAGGUGAAUACAGGAAUUUGGGGCAAGACCGAAAAGUCCCAAUAUAAUUGAUUCUUGCAGGAAAGAAAGACACUUACAAAACUAAAUGAUAUUCACCGUCAAUUUACAGAUUUUUUACACUCGCAAUUGUCAUAUCAUUAAAACCAUUUAACUUCAUUGAUAACUACUUCUAAAAUUACAUAAAUAUGAUUUGAUUGUGAUUUGUUAAUAAUAUAAUAUUUUUAAAUUGACAGUGUAUAUAAAAAAUUAACUAUGGCUACAUCAAGGUUUAUUAUAUCAUAGUUUAAAAAGUGAAUACUUUUUCCUCUCCUCACUGAUUCCAUUUUUUUUCUUCCGAUGUAAGCAUGAAUCGAAAGUUUUCAGUUUGAAGAGAAUAAGAAUUUUGGGGAGUUCUCUGAUUUUCCUUACCCUGUUAGCUCAAUUUCACUGACUUAGAACAUAGAAGAGGAAUGGAAAAUUCAAAUACAAAAUCUAGGCAAUGGCCAGCAUUUUAAGUAUAAUAGAUGGGGAAAAAAAGUAUUUAGAAGGAAAUAAUUAAGAUUUAUUGAUAUUGAAAAAAAAAAUAAGAUUUAUUGAUAUUGUAAAAUGAUAUGUAAAAUGAUAUAUAUAGUUUCUAAACUAAUUCAUAUAGUUACUAUUAUAGUAUUUUUGAAUCCUCAUGAGGACAUUAUUGUUCUUCCUAUCAAUCAAGUUAAGAAAUUAAUUCAUAUUGUUUAAACUCAACACCCUCGAGACUAGGGUUUCUAGUGUCAUAAAGAAUUGACUGAAAAGAGAAAUUUUAUUUGGUUUAAUCGAAAGACUCUAUUAGGACAGUCAUGAUACUAAUUUGCUUAUUAUAACUUUGUAGCUACAUAAGAUGGAUGACAAUACAGUGUUUCUUAAUGACAACAUUAAUGAUACAAUAUGGUGCAACUGAAGAAAACUUUCGUGUCAAUUGAUAUAAAAGUAGAUGAUUUGCAAAAUCAUGUAAUCCACUUAUGAGUUAAGAAAUUUGUCUCUUUAGUGUUACCAUAAAUUUUGAUAAAGUAAUUGUCUCAUUUGGUUUUGAGAUAAUAUUAUGAAGAAUUGUGGAUUUAGUAAGCUCAGUGGGGGUAAACUUAUAUUUCUAGUUUAAUGUGCCGGUUUUAUUUUAUUUAGUCAACUAUGAUAUAUGUUCGUUGUGUGAAACCAAGAAAUCUCUAACAAAAGUUUGGUGAUGAAAGAUCUUAGGGACACCUCUUUUGUUUAAGCAUUUUUGAUACUUAGAGAUACUUCUCAAGGUAUCCUUCAGAUGAUGUCACAAAAGAAUUAUAUCAAUAAAGUUGAAAAUGAAAUGACAUAAUUUUUUGGAUGAUCUCAAUCACCGAGAGAGACUUUUCAGUCUCAAAUAUUGCCCAAUUAAAAAAUUUAUGAAUUCAUAAAUUUAAGUAUUUUCCUACAUUUUACCUAUAGGAUUUUUAUGUAUGAUUUUAUUAUACACAUUUGGAAAUAGCGUAUUUAAUGAGAUUGAAAUAUGAGAGGGGAAAGGAAAAGGUUAGAAGAUGUAGGGUAAAACUGAUUCUCAUUGAUUAACUACAUUGAUACAUGGCAUAUAUAGAGUCGUAUGAAAAGUUAGUUGAUAACAAACUAGCUUACUUGCCAAACAAGUAAGUCCAUAACUAACUAACAGACUAAUGAGAAUAAAACAAUGUUAUAUACCUAACAAUCACUCCCCUUGUUUGAAAAAUACUUCUAGCUUCAAAGGUUUAGUCUUGAUGUCUGCUGGUUGAUUAAUGUUUGAACUAUAAUAAGCAAAUUCCAUAACUCCUUCUUUUGUUAAGACCCUACGAAAAUAUAUGUGAUAUCUAUGUGCUUACAUCUUCCAUGCAUUGAAAGAUUCUUUGACAAUUUUCCUGAUGAAUAUAUGUACUACAGAUCAGGGCUGGCCAUGGACCUGUGCAAACAGUGCUACGACACAGGACUUCAAAGUUUUGAGGGCCUAAAUUUUAAAGGUCAAAAUUAUGAGUUAUGAUCUUCUUCAUUUUCCUUAUUUAUUACUAUAGCUUUGAAGAUUUUUAAAGUAUAUAUUAAAUAAUAGAAAAUGUUACGAAUGUCCACGAAAUAUUCUUUAAAGUCUUUAAAUUUGUGUAUUCAAUUAUGGUUUGAAAUUAAAGUAUUUUAUUUUCUAAGGAAUAAUUUCUUAAUUUGAUAUUCUUAAUGAGGACCUCGGAGACACUCGUUGGUCGUUAGUAGAACCUUUAAAUAAUUAAGGGCAAAUUACACUCACCUCUCUUGAGGUCUCUUUAAACAACACAUAUACCCCCUCUAGUUUUCAAAAACACUCACCUCCCCUCUAAACUAACUCUGCUAGCCUAAAAUGUUGAUUCUUAACAACCCUGAUUCAUUCCAUUACAGAAAAACUCCACUACAAUGAAAUCUUUAUCUACCGUGUAAAUUUAUAGGUUCGUCACCGGUAUUCAUACAUUCCACCGCUAUGGGCAACUCCAAAUCAAUUUCACCAUUCUCUAAACAAUUCUUAAAAGUAUAUCACUUUUAAAAAAGCGUACCGCACUAGCUAGAUGUACAUAGAAAGCAAGAACCAAUUUUUGACUUCAAGCAGGGCCCAAGUAAAAAGCAAAGCAUUGAAAUCAUUGCAAGAGCAGAAACGACCCUGCCAACAAUCAAGAUUUAAAAAUAAUUGCUGUUUUCUUUAGUGAUUAGUUACAUAAUGGAGUGUAGAAUGGUUACAAUAACAUAGAUUUUCAAAUCACUUAGAAUUUUAUAAUAUAGUUUAGGCACGGUCAUCACAUACCUAAUUAGUGAUUUAAAUUUGAUUUUUUAUAGUGAAAGAAUCUAUGUUUCUUAUGAUUUAUAAUUUUUUAACGAGUAAACAACAAUUUUGUUAUCUGAAUAUGUGACAAAUUAUCACCAUAGUCUUUGAUGUAUCGAAAUUACAAAUGCAUCUUCAAGUGUAUCUUUAAUUAAUCAUUAUCAUCUUCAAACAUAUUUCGUCGUUUAUCAUUUUAGUCCUUAAAAUGUAUCUUUAGUGAUGAUUUAUUAAUAUUAUAAAAUGUGAAAUAACUGGUACAAACUUUUUUACAUCUCAAUCAACCAACAAAUCCGUCCAAAAGUUAGAAUCUCUUCCAUCUCUUAUGACCUUUCUUAAAUUUCCCUCAAAUCACCCCGGUAAUGAUGAUAUAGACCUUAAAUCCCUCCACCAAACUGAACCAAUGUUUCUUACCAAAUUCAAACUAUCAUCAUAUUUGGCGUUUGUCUUUUAGCCCUAUUUUCUAAACAAACAAACAAACAUAAAUAAGUUGUAAAAAAGAGAGAAUUGAACUUAAAAUCUUAAGAUGAGUGUACUUUAUGAUCUCAAAUCAAUACCACGAGACACACUCAAAUGAGUUUCCACUUUCUAUUUCUCAUUGUUUCUAAUCUAUCCAUCCAUGAAGCACAAUACUCCUCGGGUUAAGGGUGUGUCCCGGUGUGAAAUAUGUAUCGUGUCCCACACCAACACCGACACCGACACAUAUCUCCGUGUCGUAACUGCAUCUGAGUUUGUGCUUCACAUCCUUCCAUCAACAUCAAUUCUAAGAGUAUUUUACAGAUCCACAUCCUAUGCAAGAAAUCACCCUUUCAUUGACCUUGCGAGUGUAUAUCCCCUCAAUUCUAUCCCAAAGCUUUAAAACAAUCAAGGAGCUCAAUUAUGCUUUGAGAAGACACUAACUAAUAGUAACUAAGGUCAUGGAAAUGGGAAGUGAAGUCAUUGAAACUCAACAAGACAUCAUUAAGUUGCUCCCACAAUGAAAUUGGAUCAAAUUCAAAACAAUCUCCAUCAUGAUCGUAAUAUGGAAUUAAGGAUGUGAUUUUGUGAUACAAUUUUUUUUGUUUCUUUCUUCAAAUUUACAGUAACUCUUUACAACUAUUACACACAUAUUUAAUAAAAUUUUACAAGCUUGUUGAAUUUCAAAAUUCAGUUUUAAGAUGAAAAUCAUACCCAUGAUAUCAAUAAAACUUCACUCCAAUUCAAAAUUAACUCGAUAUAUACACUUUUGAAAUAUAUAAAAAAUAAAUAAAAACAUCUUAUUGUAAACUUAUUUUUGAUUAAAUCUUAUAAGAUUUUAACAUAAAAAAUCAAUGUAAAUAGUUAUUCUAAAAAUAUCAUAUUAUAUCUAAAAUUUAUACUAUAUAUAAAGAAAACUACCCCUUUCAGCAUUUUAGGGUUGUAUUUUUUCUUCCAAAAAUACCCUAAAUUUUCAAAUACAAAUAACACAUGUAACAAACAAAUAGAUAAAAAUAAAUUUAAUAUUAAAACAAAUAUAACAAACACGAUAUGAAUAUAUAUAUAUCUUUGGUUUUUUUUCUUUUUCAUUUAAUAAGUGUAACAAACUAGAUGAGGAUAUUUAUACUUACUUUUACAUUAUUUCAAUUAAAUCCUCAAACAACUUUUUCUAUAAUAAAUAUUGUUAUUGGUUUCAUUAAAAUAAAAGAAUUUUAGAUUAUAUUUUUUUUGUUAUAUUGUUGGUGUAAUUGAAAUAGAUAAUCAUGGUUAGAUUGCUUUGUUAUAACUUGAAAAUAACAAACAUUUAUAUUUUUAAUUUUAAUCAAAAUAAAAUUUCAUAAAAAACAUCGUUCAUAAUUUUCAAAUGUUAGCGCAAUAAAAAGAGCGGAAAGACAGACAGGUGAGUGCCCGUCUUUUCGCUAGUCAUCAAUAAUGUAAGUGUACUGAAGUUUUAUCCAUUCUCAAGUUAUAUCACUGCCACAAAUUGUUCUAAACAAUUGUUUCAUUUAAUUAAGAAAUGUUAAAUAAGUCCCUUAAUAAAAAAUGAGAAUAUUUAACUGAAAAUUGAUUGGCGGUUUCACUCGCUAUCGGCAUUUGGUGGAACACCUUAAUCUUACUUAUCGGUAGACCUUUCCGUGGUCCAAUUCUUAAUUAAAGUAUCGAUUAUUAGGACUUAAGUCCAUGAGAAGAGCCUCAUGGUUUAAAUGACGCAUCAAGCACUUUGGUCUACUUGAUUUGGGACUCCUAACAUAUUCUUUGCAGCUAUAACAACGUUUCUUCGCAGCUUGAUAAGAUUUUGUGGCGGUAGUUUACGUGAUUUUUUUCUUCGAUAUAUUAAAACGGAAAACAAAGGUAUCAGACACUACCUAUACCUCUUUGCCAUAUCCAUUUUUAUGAUUACUGAUUGUAUUUUUAGAACCUUGGCAACUACUACCUCUGUCGUAAAUUAUAAGUUGUUUUGGUCAUUUCACACGUAUUAAAAAUUGAAAUUAAUUUGUAUAUGAAAGAGAUAUUAUGAGUUGCUUUACACAAUUAUCUUAAUAAAUAGUAUCAGAAAAAUAAAUUAAAGAAUUGAAAUGAGUAAUAUUAAUAAAUAGUUAAGAGUAUAAUAGAAAAAUUAUUACUAAUGUUUUUAUUGUUAUUGUAAAACAAUUUAUAAUUUGAGACAACUUUUUUUCCAUACUUAUAAUUUGAGACAGAGAGAGUAUUAAACUAAUAAUGUUCACAUACGUAUUUAGUCUUGCAAGAUAACAUUAGCAUUUGUCAUAUGUAAUCUUCUCUAGUCAACUUCAAAUCUUUCUUGUGCUUCGAGGAAAUUUUUUGCAAUUGAAAAGUCCCAUCUUUUAGUAUAAUAAUAUAAAGUGAAUACAGGAAUUUGGGGCAAGACUGAAAAGUCCCAAUAUAAUGAUUCUUGCUUGAAAAAAAAGACACUUACAAAACUGAAUGAUAUGUUAUCAUAUUUUUCGGGUAACAUCUUGCAAUUUUUACGAGUUUAAUUUAUAUGUGCCAUCAAUUUAAAGACUUUUUUAUGAUAACUACUUCUAAAAUUAUAGAUAUGAUUGAAUGUGAUUUGUUAAUAAUUUAACUUUUUUUACAUUGACGAUGUAUAUCAAAAUUAACUAUGGCUAUAUCAAGGUUUAUUAUAUCAUAGUUUAAAAAGUGAAUACUUUUUCCUCUCCUCACUGAUUCCUUAUUUUGUCCGAUGUAGGAAGGUCCCGAAAGUUUUCAGUUUGAAGAGAACAAGAAUUUUUGGGAGUUCUGAUUUUCCUUUCCCUAUUAGCUCAGGAAUGGAAAAUUCAUAUAAAAAAUCUAGGCAAUGGCUAAAACAGCAUUUUAAGUAUAAUAGAUGAGGAAAAAAAGCAUAAUAGAAGAAAAAAAAUUAAGAUUUAUUGAUAUUGGAAAAAAUUAAGAUUUAUUGAUAUUGUAAAAUGAUAUAUAAAUGGGAGAAAAAAAGUAAAUUGGGAGAAUUUUACUUCUUAUAACUUUAAUAAUCUUAUUUUAAACUGGUUAAACUUUUCUUAAUGACCGACGUUAGUAUAGUUAAUUACUUACCAUACUAUUUGUUAGAGGGAGGAGUUGAAUAAAUGACCUCUUUACCACUCAAUCCUUAUUGAAAGUAAUACGUAUUUAAAUAUCAUGUAAGAUAAGUUUAGCAUCUUUCUUAAAUGUCAUCAUCUCUAGUCAACUCCAAGUCUUUCUUUUGCUUGGAGGAAGUUUCUUGUAAUAGAAAAUAUCCCAUAAUUUUAGUAUAUAUAAUAUAAUAAUAUGAGAUGAUUAUAUGAGGUCGGGAAGAACUGCUCACAUUCCUAAAAAAAAUGAAGCUGGGUUUGAUAAAUAGUUUCCUUUUAUAUUUUGUGACAUUGAUGUUAAUGCUAACUCAAGGAUGUAACGGUUGCUUAGAGAAAGAGAGAAUAUCAUUGUUGGAGAUCAAACACUACUUCUUGUCACAAACAGGAGAUCCUUACAAUAAAUUGGGUUCAUGGGUUGAUGAUAGAGAUAGCAAUUGUUGUUCUUGGAACAAUGUCAAGUGCUCUAACAUCUCUUCGGGUCACAUAAUUGAAUUAUCCAUCCGAAAGUUACUAUUCGAUAUACCCUUUGAUAUGAAGUUAAAUGUUUCACUAUUCCGUCCAUUUAAAGAGCUACGGCUCCUCGACUUGUCCUACAACUCCUUUCUAGGCUGGAUUGGCAACGAAGGUACUACGUUCGUCCUUAUAUAUAAAAUUUCUUUAAUAAACUUAUACAAAUUAAAAAAGUUCAUUAAUUUUUAUUUGUUGUGUUAAAUUUAUUAACAUUUUAAUUUAUAUUGUCAUAAUUAGCAAUAAUUGACGGGUGAGUUUAAGUUUUCUAAAAAAGAUUGUUAUUUUACAACAUGAAAAUUCAAUGUUCAAAUCUCAAUUAAGAGAGAUGUCAGUACUUUCUAUUUAUUACAAUAUCUUAUAUACGAAUUAAAAAUCAAUGAUCUUAUAAAAUUUGGUGGGAUCAAUAUAAAUUUCAACCAAUACAAACAUAAGUGUUGUAAAUAGUAUAUCACUAGCAUAAUUAAAAAAUACAUAAUACAAGAGAGAAUUUUCUUAUAGGUACAAGAGAGAUAUUUUUACUGAAGCCUUUUAUAGUGUUGUAAAAAGUGUGGUAAAUAGUGUGUUACUAGCAUAAUUAAAAAAAUAUUGUUAUAUUUGUCGUUGUAUCCAUCAAUUUGGUCUCUCUAAGAUAGUCUCAGAUACUAAUUAAAACUAUGAAAGUGUUUAUAAUUUUACGAUGAUUUUAUAAAUUCUUUAAUUUUAGGAUCGAGCUCUGUAAUUUUUUAGGCCAAUUGAGGGAUUAAUUUUUCUAUUUUAUUGUUCUCUUUCAUUUAUUAAUUUUUCUAUUUCAUGGUUCACUGUUUUUUUGUUCUCUUUCAUUUUUCAUGACUUUUGUUUCCAUAUUGUAACAAAUUUAAAAAUAAACCAUUGACAUAAACAUUUUUCAUUAAUCACUGUAUUUUCCCUUCAUUUUUCGUGACUUUUAUUUCUCUUUUGCAACAAAUGCUGAAAUAAACUAUUAACAAGAAACUGUUUUCAUUAAUCAUGUUUCUUUUGAAGGGUUUCCUAGACUUAAAAGAUUGGAGACAUUAGAUCUUUCAGGGAACUAUCUAAAUAGUAGCAUUUUGCCAAGUUUGAAAGGAUUGACUGCUCUGACAACUUUGAAGUUGGUUUCCAAUUCGAUGGAAAACUUCUCUGCUCAAGGUACAUUUUGUUUCAAUAAUUUAUUUAUGGAGUUUAUGUGAUGAAGUGAAUGAAUUAGAAUACAAUUAUAAGAUCCCCAAGAAAAUAUAAUUUUUAACGAUAAUAAGAGACUUUAAAUAAAAUGAAAAAGUGGUUAUGAAUCAUCGGUAGGAAUUGAAAUUAAUUAACAAAAGCUUUUCAUUAUGUAUAUAUAUUGUUGAAGGAUUUUCGAGAUCAAAGGAGUUGGAAGUCUUAGACCUUUCAGGAAAUAGGCUAAAUUGCAACAUAAUAACAAGUUUGCAUGGAUUCACAUCAUUAAGGAGUUUGAUUCUGAGUUACAACAACUUCAAUUGUUCUCUCUCCACUUUAGGUAAACAUCUUCAAUUCUUAUAUUAUGACGAAUGAUUUUAUUAUCAUUUAUUAAAAAGAAAUAAAUUAUGUCCUUGCAACAGAUUUUGCCAAAUUUAGUCGGCUAGAACUAUUGGACUUGGGUGGUAAUCAAUUUACUGGUUCUCUACAUGUUGAAGGUACUUUUACUGUUAUUGUUGUUUCAAAUAUUACAAAGAAACACAAAAUUUAUUAUUACUAUUUAUGGCAAAACAAUUUAUAUAUAGGAAAAUUUCUUCUAUUUGAGAAAUUCAGACUUUGUUUAGGAAUUUAAAAUCCACAUUAUAAAUCAUAUUCUCAAUAGAAACUCUAAGUUAAUGAGUUUACAAUCUCUAAUUAAAUUCAAUAAAAUAAUUCUCCACACAAUUCGCCACAUUAUAAAUCAUAUUCUCAAUAGAGGCUUCCAUAAAUAUUUCCACAAACCUGCAUUCUCAUCCAAAGGUGGUUAUGGACUUUGUCUAGCCAUUUCCUCUUUGACGCGAUAGUAUGCCGACUUCAAUGAGUAAAUGCCAUCGUUAUGCAAAAUUAAGUUCAGGAAAAACGUGAGUAAUUUUGGCAGAAUAAAAAUAACAAAGACAUCAAGCCUCAAUUCUAUCAAUAAUAUAACCUUAUCGUUUAAUGCUAAUACUUUGACACCAAGUCAAACAUAAUCUGUUCUUCAAAAAUAAUAGUCAAACAUAAUUUGAAUUUUUUUUUGGGGAAUAGUUCUUACCGAUUUAUUUAUUGAAAAUUAUAUCUCUAACUAUGUACUCUCUUUUUUUUUCUUCUGCAGAUGUUCAACAUUUGAAAAAUUUGAAAAUGUUAAGUUUAAACGAUAAUCAAAUGAACGGCUCAAUUGAAGGUAUCAAUACUACCAAACACAAAUAAUUAAUUCAUAAUUGCUUCACGGGAUGGUUUUGGGGAUCGAUUGUUACAAUGAAGAUAACUUUUUUUUUUAUUUUAAAUUUUAAAUAAUUAACAAAAACAACGAAAUAAGUUAAUUAAUGUAUAUAUUGACGCCAUUGGAAAAACUUUUAAGAUUUUUAUGAUAAUGUCAAUUUUUGUAAAGAUGACAGGACAUAGUUAAUUAUGACAGGACUAUGCAAUUUUAAGGAUUUGGUAGAACUGGAUAUCAGCAAAAACAUGUUUAGUGCUAAACUUCCAGAUUGUUUAAGCAACUUAACAAACCUCAGAGUUCUUGAACUUAGUAAUAAUCUGUUCAGUGGAAAUUUUCCAUCUUUCAUUAGCAAUCUCACAUCACUGGCAUACUUAUCCUUCUAUGGAAAUUACAUGCAAGGAUCAUUUUCAUUGAGCACUUUGGCUAAUCAUUCCAAUCUUGAGGUUCUAUAUAUUUCAUCAAAAAACAAUAUUGGAGUAGACAUUGAAACUGAAAAAACAAAGUGGUUUCCUAAAUUUCAAUUGAAGUCACUUAUUGUUAGAAAUUGCAACCUAAACAAGGACGAAGGAAGUGUCAUUCCUACUUUUCUUUCAUAUCAAUAUAAUUUGGUAUACUUGGUCCUCUCCAGCAACAAUAUAAAUGGCUCACUCCCAAGUAAUUGGUUGAUACAUAAUGAUGACAUGAUAUAUUUGGAUAUAUCAAACAACAAUUUGAGUGGUUUGCUUCCAAAAGAUAUCGGUAUAUUCCUUCCUAAUGUUACCUAUUUGAACUUUUCAUGGAAUAGCUUUGAAGGAAAUAUACCUUCAUCAAUUGGUAAGAUGAAACAACUUCAACUCUUGGACUUCUCUCAAAAUCAUUUCUCAGGUGAGUUACCUAAACAACUGGCCACAGGUUGUGAUAAUUUACAAUACUUGAAGCUCUCCAACAACUUUCUACAUGGGAACAUUCCAAGAUUUUGUAAUUCAGUGAAUAUGUUUGGGUUAUUUCUUAAUAAUAACAACUUUAGUGGAACACUUGAAGAUGUAUUAGGAAAUAAUACAAGAUUAGAAACGCUGUCCAUAUCCAAUAAUUCAUUCUCAGGCACAAUUCCUAGUUCAAUUGGGAUGUUUUCUAACAUGUGGGCCCUUCUUAUGUCUAAAAAUCAAUUAGAAGGUGAGAUCCCUAUUGAGAUUUCCAGCAUAUGGCGGCUUCAAAUUUUAGAUCUUUCUCAAAACAAGUUAAAUGGAUCAAUCCCACCUUUAAGUGGUUUGACUCUUCUAAGGUUCUUGUAUUUGCAAGAGAAUGGUCUCUCUGGAUCAAUCCCAUAUGAACUCUAUGAAGGCUUCCAACUACAACUUCUAGAUUUGAGGGAGAACAAAUUUUCAGGAAAAAUUCCCAACUGGAUGGAUAAGUUCUCAGAAUUAAGGGUCCUUUUAUUAGGAGGGAACAAUUUUGAAGGAGAAAUUCCAAUGCAGUUGUGUCGGUUAAAAAAGAUCAACAUAAUGGACUUAUCACGAAACAUGCUCAAUGCUUCCAUACCAUCUUGCUUUCGAAAUAUGUUAUUUGGAAUGAGACAAUAUGUUGAUGCUGUUUUUGACCUCUCAUCCAUCUUAUAUGGCCAACAUAUACAAGACACACAUUAUUUCUUCGAUUCUAGUUUGUCGAUUGAUCUUCCAUUGGAAAAAGAUCAAUUGAUUGAAGAUCUACUACAUUUGGAAGUGGAGUUCAGAACAAAGCACUAUGAAUACUUUUACAAGGGUAAAGUUCUAGAGAAUAUGACUGGAUUGGAUUUAUCAUGCAAUAAGCUAACAGGUGUCAUCCCUUCUCAAAUUGGAGACCUACAACAAAUUAGAGCCUUGAAUCUAUCACAUAAUCACUUGUCAGGUCCCAUUCCAAUCACUUUUUCAAAUCUUACCCAAAUAGAGAGUCUUGACUUAUCAUACAAUGACUUGAGUGGUAAGAUACCCAAUGAACUAACCCAGCUAAACUUUUUGUCAACCUUCAAUGUGUCAUACAACAACCUUUCUGGAACACCACCUAGUAUAGGCCAGUUUGCAAACUUUGAUGAGGAUAACUACAGAGGUAAUCCCAGUCUUUGUGGACCACUCCUCAGUCGAAAGUGUGAACGUGUCGAGCCUCCACCAUCAUCCCAAUCCAAUGACAAUGAAGAAGAGGAAACUGGUGUGGACAUGAUAACAUUUUAUUGGAGUUUCACAGCAUCUUACAUAACAAUACUAUUGGCCUUCAUAACAGUGUUGUGCAUCAAUCCACGUUGGCGCAUGGCCUGGUUUUAUUACAUCAGUAAGUUUAUGCGUAGAUUCUUUCCAACUUUUCCAUUGUAUUGAAGAGUGGCCAUAGUUCCUGUUGAAACAUUAUGUGGAGUCUCAAAUAUUUGCAUAUUGUAAUUUUUAUAUUUACCUUUAAUUUCAGACAAUUUGAUGUUCGUUUCCUUUUGUGUUAUGUACUUAUCUGGAGUGCUUUGAAGCUAUUGUUAUAAAUUAUUGUUGUUUUUCCAACAUAUUGAAUCUAUCACAGAAUACCUUCCUUACAAGUUAUGCUUGCAGGGUGUGAAACAGAGGCGCUGUGAUAAAAGGAAACAUAUAUCAUUUGUCUCUAAUUAUAAAGCACUCGUUGGAAAAAUAAUUUCUCAUUAGGAAGAAGUUUUCACGACCUCUUUGCAAGAUUCAUACAGUCACGGUUUAAAAUAACGGUUAAGUCGUGUUAGGAUUUUGCGAUUUUGAUUGUUACGUGUAAGGGUUUGCACAAUUGAGAAUGUGAUAGAUGUCUAAUCUCAAAUUAAUUAUGAAAUCAAAGGUAGAAGUGAUAGAUGAAAACCUAAUUAAAAUUGGUCUUUUUAGUACAUAAAGAAAAAGAUAAAAGAAGAAAGGAGAGAUUUAAGUCAUUACUCUACAUGAGAGUACUAAAGAGAGAGGAGAGAUUUCAACAAUUUUCUUUAUACCUAUUAUUGAUCACCAUUUUCCUACUUAUGUGCGAGAGUUAACUUAAAAUCAAGAUCUGCAGGAAUCAUGACAUGAUUGCUGGGCAACGUGGCACGAUUGGAGAUUUCAAGUUUGAGGCAAAGCUCUGGAAAAAUCGUGGCACGAUGGGAUCACAUCGUGGCACGAUGGUGCGCUGGCAGCGAAAAACAGAAACAUAUUUUUGAGUGCAGAUUUGUUCCAAAUUUUAAGCGAUACUUUUACUAUAAAUAUAGACCUUGUAUCAGAGCAAACUUUGAGAUAGAGGGGGCUGAAACAAGGGUUUAGAAAGGCAACAACAAAACUAGGAUUUGUAUAGAGUUUGUCUCUUUGGAACAAACACUAGGUUUUGAGGGUUGAUUCACUUUGGGAAACACUAUUAGGAUUGAGUCUUUUGGUUACGGGAAGAGAUUGGGGCUUUGUGUAGAAUUAGGCGGGAGACUUAUUCUUGUAACCCAUUGAUUUCUCUUUUGUAACGAUACUCAUCAUAUAGUGGAUUGGAGGGCUGCUCUCUCCCCCAGACUAGGUCAAUUUGGACCGAACUGUGUCAACAAAUUCUUUUGUGUUCUUCUCGCCGUUGUUUUUCUACUUUUGGCUUGUAUUUAAUUGUUCCAUACACUUUGUUUUGGUUGCUUGAUUAUCCAUUGCUCCACACAUCAAGUUAUUAUUGGUGUGAUUUUCAUCGAAUUCACAACAUUAUGCAUAAUCCAAGCUUCCAUGAUUUUUUAAUCACUAGCCACAUGUCCAUUUGCCUCAACCAAUUAUGUUAUGCCGAGUGUAUUUUCUCAUGUUAUUUUCAAUCAUAACAUUGCACAAAUAUUAUUAAAAUUAUUUAUAUUAUCAUAUAAUGUAUAAUAACUUAAUUUCUCAUUGUUUCUUCAUAAUUUCAUUACUAUAAUUCUUUUCAUAAUUUUGUAAUGAAUUUUUUCUUAUAUAAACAAAAUUAACCUCUAAUAAAUUAGGUUGUAAUGUUUUAGAAGAGACAAGACCACAAAAAUUAAAUGAGACAAUAAAUGUAUGUUCCCUACCGUUCGUUGCAGCCGUAACGACGUUUCGUCGUCGCAUAAUAAAAUUUUUCUUUCGUUGUUUAUUUGAUUUUUGUUCGCUAUUGUUAUCGCGAUUUUCGGGUGUCAAGUCAUUAAUUAGGCUUGAACCUUUCAAUCUUUGAUAUUCUCUAUUUUUUCUUGGGAAGGGCAAAAUUGAGAAAAAACCCUUGGAUUCUAAGUUCGGGGGUCGUUUUCACUACGGGAAGGUGUUAGGCACCCGCGGUGACUAUAGUACUCUAUAGGAGCUGUUUUCUUAGUUUAUGUCUACGCUUUAUUUUUAAUGCUGUUUAUGAAAAAGGAAAUUUAUUUAUGUUAAGAAUGGGGGAGAAAGUGUUUGAGGUUUUAUUUUAGUGGACUUGGAGAGGUUUUGACCUCAUGCCUACAUACCCAUUUAAGGGAUCAAACUCCAUGUAGUUCUCUUUCAAAAAUGUUUUUUGUGUGUUUGGUUGAUUUUAGUUUUUGUUGGAAAAUGGUUUUGAAGAAGAGAAAGAGGCCUUAAAGGCAUAAGAGAAGAAAAUGGUGAAUGGUUGGUUCAAUUGUUAUUAAAAAAGUCUAAGUAGGAAUUAGGAUUCAUUUGGAUUUGGUUAAGAAAAUAAAGGAAAAAAUUCAAUGGAGUUUUGACUCCAAGGUUUGUUUGAAAAAAAAAUUGAGUGAUGGAAUUUAUUAUUUAUUUUUUUUUGAAAUUGGCAUUUGUCUAAAAAUCGCGUUUCCUAAGCAUACAUCUAAACGGUAAACAUGCAACGUGUGUGCGUGUCGGUGCUUGUGUCGGUGUACAUCAUUAGAGUCCAUUGUCCUUUACACUUUGCCCUAGUUUACAUGCUAUGGUCUUGCGAGUAAUUAAAAGAAAGCUAAUCUACCUAAAAUUAUUACAAACCCAUUUGAUAUAGAAAUGAAUAGAAAAAAAAAAGCCUAAACUAUGAGAUGGAUGAAAUAUGAAAUGAAAUGGUUAGUAUCAUAAGGCAUAAAAAAUGGUAAAAAGGGUAAACAAAAUUGAAUAGAAUAGCAAAAAAGAAAAGAGCAAUGAAAUGAAAUAAAAUGACAAAAUAUACCUAGAAUUAGGUAUAACACUUAGACAUGCAUAUGGCUUAUAAUUCCCUCAUCAUAGCCAUUUUUAAAAGAGAUUUGAUUUUAAGCUACAAUGUGAGGAUCAUAAGAACACACACAAGCAAAGCAUCAUACCAUAUUCCUAGAGAUAUUUUUACACAUUAUUUAACAUAGUAAAAAAAACAAAAAUAUCACAAAAUAUCAAAAAAUGCACCAAGAACAAAUAGGAAUUUAAUGAGCAAGAAUUGAAAAGAACAAAUGAAGAAAAUAAAUGCAAAAAAUAAGCAAGUAAAUUCUAACAUUUAGAAAAAAAUUAAAAUGAUAGGGAAACAUUUUUAGAAAAUUUUAGGAGCAUAAAAUGCCAAGAAAGUGUAAAAAAAGUAAUUUAAAACACAAUAAAAAAAGCAAUUAAAAAAAAAACUACAGCAGGUUAUAAUCUGGACCGUUGGAUGAAUCCAGAGGUCCAGAUCUAACUCCCAAGAUCUCAUCACAGCCACUGGAUCAAAGAUCCAAGGGUUAAAAAAAACAACAAAAAGAUAGUGUAAAAUUGCAGGAAGCACAAUGACCGUUAGAUCAAAGAUCUAACGGUUCAAACACAAGAUAUACCAUAUUUCACACAGAAGAUCACACACAUGAUUCAAGAUCAAAACACACAGCAGCCAUCAGAUCUUGGAACGAUCCAGAUCUGAUGGUUCACAAUACGAGGGAGCACAGCAAGAGCACGCAUGCGCGCGCGUGCGAACAGAGGAGUAUAAAAAGGAGUUUCAAACAAAAAAAAAAAACAAAAGUUCUCAAAAAUCCUCUCUCUUCUUUGGAUUCUAGAGAGAGAGAGUCUGACCUCUCUCUAGAAUCCGGUCAUCUUCUCCGGCGUAACCAGCUUCUCCGGCGCGGUGGCCGGCCACCGGUAAAUUUUUUUUUGGCUCCGAUUCAAAUUUUUUUUUACAUUUUUUAAACAUCCUUUUUUCUCCUAUGCAUGAAUCUGAGCUUAGUUUUUUGAAAAAGAAUUUCAACCGGAGUAGAUCUGAGUUUGAAGUCGCGGUUUUGAAAAAAAAUUUUAGGUUUGAAAUUUUCUUGACUCAAAUCCUUUUUAUCUUUCUCGAUCUGUAACGAUUCACUUGCGUUGAUGCUUUUCGAGAAAGAAAGAUGAAGUUUACGUGUUUACCUCUGGUUUAGUUGGAGAUUUCGAACUGAGAUCUUUGAGAAACUUGAAUCUUGGUGCUGCUUGUUGAUUUUUGUGUGAAAACCGAAAAUAAAUCGGUGUUCUUGCUGGUUUGAUUCUUUCUUCUUCUUCACCGGUUCAGAUUCCUGUUUCUUUCCUUCUUCUUCUUCACUGAUUCUCUGUGAUCGGUGCUUGAGUUUCCCAAUGGCGAAUUCGCGCCUUGAAUUGCAGAGAAUCCGGUUCAAUGAUGAUGAUUGUUUGAAGAAUCACUGAGAACUGAACGAAUUUAGUUGAAAUUGUUGAUGAAUUGUGAUUCUGGAAUUCUAGGGUUCAUGAAUGUUCUUCAUGUUCUUGAUAGUUUCUGAGUUUUUGAUCUAACUGAAUGGAGAGAGAAACUGUGAUUCUGUUUGUUGAGGUGGCGUGAAUUGUGUGGAUUCCUCUGGAAAUUCUGACACUGUGUUGUAUUUAUAGCUGACAUGUGUACUUGAGAUCUAAUGAAAUGGUGACAUCUGUCUUUUGUGAAGAAGGCUCGGCCUUGGACUGAAUUUUUGACUUAGGGACCUUUCUGCAAAAAGAAAAAUUAAAAGGACUAAUCUGCAAUUAUGAAAAAAGGACUUUAAAAUGCAAUUUGGAAAAGUAUUGGACUAAAAUGCAAUUUUAGAAACUGUUUCAGGGACUAAAAUGCAAUAAUAAUAAAAAAAAUAAAAUUGGACUAAAAUUGGUAAAUUGGACAAAACGUAAAGUGAAACCAAAAAAUAAAAAUCAACAAAAGGACUAAAAUGAACCAGCUACAAAAAUGAGGUAUUUUAAAAUACCUCUCUGCCGAAGUUUUGACAGGAAAAGACCAAAAUGCCCCUAGGGACUAAACUGACUCAAACUGACUCAGAUGCAAUUUUUGAAAUGAUUUUUAAACAAAGACUCAACAAUGAUUUGUACAGACAAAUUGAAAAGACUCAGAGGCAAACACAGGGACUAAAAUGGGUUCCAAUGUAGGAAAUGACCAAAAUACCCUUUUGUAUGAUUUUUGAAAUAAAAUGCAAGAAAAGUAACGCGACGUUUCAGAGAGUUCUUAAAUGACUUGUAAUGUCAGAAAAGACAGAGGCAGUAAAAUACGUUUAAAAGAGAGUAAAGAUUCAGAGUAAAAUAACAGAGAAUUGACAAAUAUCAGUGUUAAAAAAGAAAUUUGAACGAGUAUUUUUAGGUCCAAAAUCAGGGUAUAACAGCUAUGUUAAAACGGAGAAAGGUAUCAGACACAACCUGUACCUUUUUGCGGCGGCCAUUUUCACAGCACAAUCUCACAUCCUUGACAUACUUGAAACUCUGAAAAUCACACGCAAGGACCAUUUUCAGUAAGCACUUUGGCUAAUCACUUCACGCUUCAGGAUCUAUAUAUUUCCUCAGAAAGCAUUGGAGAACACAUUGAAACUUAAAAAACAAAGGAAGAGUCAUUCCUAGUUUUCUUUCAUAUAAUAUAAUUGGUUAAAAUAUGGUUUUGGUCCCUGCAAAUAUGCCUCGUUUUUGGUUUUAGUCCCUAGUAAAAAAAAAAUUUGUUUGUUUUUGGUCCGUGCAAAAUAUUUUGUUUUUGGAAAUAGUCCCUGGGACUAUUUCCAAAAACAAAAUAUUUUACAGGGACCUUUUUCAAAAUCAAAAGAUUUUGCAGGGACUAUUUCUCUAAUAAAUGGGUUCAGUCAUCAUGUGUCACAUGUGCAAAUCAUCACAAAAGUGGAGCCAGAGACCAAAACCAAAAUGAGGCAUAUUUGCAGGGACCAAAAACAACAAAAAUAAUUUGCAAGGACUAAAACCAAAACAAGACAUAUUUGCAGACCUUACCAGAAACAAAAUAGUUGGCUCAUUCCCAAGUUGGUUGAUACAUAAUGAUGAUAUACAAUAUUUGGAUAUAACAAAUAAUAUUUUAGGUGGUUUCCUUCCUUGGUUUAUCUAUUUGAAGUAGUCGUGGAAUAGCUUCGAAGGAGAAUGAUCUCGCUGGAUCUAUACCAUUUGAACUGUCUGGAAGUUCACAGCUGAAACUUUUAGACUUGAGGAGAACAAAUUUUCAGGUAACAUUCCCAACUGGAUGGAUAAUCUUUCAGUGCUCAAUGCAAAAAUUAUCAACAUGAUGGACCUAUCACGGAACAUGCUCAAUGCUUCACUUGGAACGAGACAACAUGAUGUCGAGUACAGUCCUAUGGCAGAAUGAUAUACAUUUGGAAGUAGAGUUCAGAACAAAGCACAAUCAAUGAUUACUUUUACAAAGGUAAAGUCCUAGAAGAUCUAAUUUACUCUAUUUGAGUAUACAUUUGUCAUAGAAGAUCACAAGGCGUGCAGACUUAGCAAUAUUAAACACUGCUUAUGAACUUAAUAUCAGACAUAUCUUUAUGCAUAUAAACAUUAUUUUUAUUCGUAUAGUCCUAAUGUAAGGAAAAAUGUGUAUGUAAUGUUUAUUAAAAUUCUGAUCGUGUUUCUAAGUUUAAACACCAUAAUUCGUGCCAUAUAUAUAGUUUGCACAUUGAUUCCCCUCUCUAAGAGUGUGAGAAACCGUUACAUUGAUUUGUUGAAGCAUUUGUUUUAUGUCUUGUAUGAUAACAGCAUAGAUAUGGAACCUCUCAAUGGGGCCAUAUAUAAGGUUGAUGCAAGCAAGAGAAUCAGAAUAGCAAGAAAGUUCUGCAUAUCCCAAAUCCUUUGCCAUGAUCAGCCCGUGAUAGAUAGCAGAAAGAUCACCUAGCAAGAUGUCAUCUGAACCUGGAAUCCAACUAGAGAAGCCUGAAAGGAAUAUACCUGCAUGAGUACGCAAGACUCCACCAAACCCGGUUUUGAUAGGAGAACCGUGGCAACUUCCAUCCACAUUAAGAAUAGCACCUGAAAAAUUGUUAUUAUUUCCAUCUAAUGUACCUGUUAGUUGUAAAAGCAGAAGCAGAAGGUGAAUAGUUGAUUACAAUGCUUUCAAUCGAAUUUUUGAUCUUACAAGCCAGGCGAUGUAAAGACCAAGUUUCACCACCCAAACACAUAAGGUUUCGAUGUCGCCAAGACCACCAAACUCCGACAUAAAAAGUGAUAGCAUGGGAACCCUUAGUUCCCCCUUUUAGUUGUUAAUGUUAAAUGAGUUUGAAUUUCAUCCCAAAAGUUAUCUUAAAGAUAAAGUGUUAAAAAAUUCACUUUUAAGAUGUGAACUUAAGUUAUGUUUGAAAUUUGAUUUCUUCGGUUGUGGGAGUUUGACUUUCAUUUAGGUGUUGAAUUUGGUUUUAGUGGUUAGCUUUCUUAUUGGUGUCGGUGAUAGCAAUCAGUUAGGGGUGUUUAUAUUUGUGUUUUUAUAAUUUUAUUUUAGGUGUUCAACCUAGAUAUGACAACAUAGUUUUAUUGUUUAUGUUUAGUCGAUUUUUGUUCAUCUUGUGCAAUACCGAUUGCACCAACUAAAAUACUCACAAUCAUAGCGGCCGUAGCAACAAUUUAAAAUCAUAAUUUACAUCACAUUGUCAUUUAUUUUUGACAAGUCCAUCACAUUAUCAUAACACCAAUAAAAUAAAUAUUUAUGUACUAUUCUUUGGUACACCAUAAACACGUGAAGGUACAAAAAUAUUAAACUGGAAAAAAAUGAAUAUUGAAACUUUCCAACGGUUUAGAUAUAAAUGUAACGUUAUUUGACUAUGAAUAAAUGUUGAAAGCAACUAUAUUAAACUAAUAUGUUCAAACAAGUGAUUAAUUGCAUGCAAGAUAAGUUUACCAUUUUUGUCAAAUAUCAAUUCUAUGUCUUUCUUGUGCUUCGUGGAAGUUUCUUUAGAAUAAAAACAUGUCUCAUCUGUUAGUGCUAUAUAUAAUAAUAUAAGGGGAUUGAUUGAUUACACAAUAUACAUACAUUUCUAAAAAAUGAAGUUGGGUUUGAUAAUUAGUUCCCUUUUUUAUUUUAUGACAUUGAUGUUAAUACAAAAUGAAGGAUGUAACGGUUGUGUAGAGAAUGAGAGAAUGGGGUUGUUAGAGAUCAAGAAGUACAUAGUGUCACAAGUAGAAUAUUAUAAUAAAGAAUUGAGUUCAUGGGUUGAUGAUAGAGAUCAUAGCAAUUGUUGUUCUUGGAAAAGAGUCAAGUGCUCUAACUUUUCUUCUGGUCACAUAACUAAACUAUCCAUUCAAGGAUUACUAUUUGCGACCCCUCAUCCAAAUAUGUUAAAUAUUUCACUGUUCCGUCCAUUUGAAGAGUUACGUCUUCUCGAUUUGUCCUUGAACGGGUUUCGAGGUUGGAUUGGCAACAAAGGUACUAUAAAAGUUGGUUAAUUUUGAUUUCUUGCGUUAAAUCUAUUUUCAUUAGCUAGUAUUUAUGAUAUCUUGCAUCCGAGUUCAAACUUCUCAUAGCUUACUUUGCAUUUUUUUUUAAAGGUUUUCCUAGACUAAAAAAGUUGGAGACAUUAGACCUUACAAACAACAAUCUAAAAGGCAGCAUCUUGUCAAGUUUGAAUGGAUUAACUGCUCUAAAAACUUUGAAGCUCAGUUAUAAUUCGAUAUAUAAUAACUACCCCACUCAAGGUACGUUAAGUUUUUGUAAUUUGUUUAGGCUUAAUUGCACUUUUCCUCCCUAUCUUUUGUUAAUUUGGCGAUUUUGCACCCCAUCUUUUGCCAAUUUUAUUUUGUUCAAAAUCAUCAUUAAAAGAGAGGAAAAUGGGCUAAAGAUAGGGUGCAAAAUCGCUCAGAAAAAAAGAGGGAGUGCAAAAUCGCACAAUUAGCAAAAAGAUAGGGGGAAGAAGUGCAAUUGAACACAAAGAUGGGGUGCAAAAUCAGAAAGGGGGCAAAAAGAUAGGGUGCAAAAUCGCACAAUUAAAAAAGAUAAGGGGGAAAAGUGCAAUUAAGCCAUUUGUUUAUGUGUCCGUAUUAGAGACUAUAUUUAUCUCAUUGAUUAGUUAGUGAUAUUUAACCAUAGUUAGACAUUAGUUUAGAGAUAGUGUUAGUAUACAAUUACUGAUUCUUCUUCUGUUAUAACCAUGUUUGGUUAAACUCAUGUAUAUAUACUUUGUUUCUAAUCAAUGAAAGUAAGCUCAUUUUCUAUCAUUCACAUCGCCACUCUAGGAUGACCUUGAGUAUUCUUCCCACCGUCUUUCCAAGCUGAUGUUGAGUGUUUACUGUCUAUCAGACUACCACCGAUCUACAAGGAAUCAUUACCUAGGUGAGAAACGUCACCUUCCUCAUCCCCCUAACAUGACACCAUCAGAUCACCCGCAUCCUCAUAAUGCUCAAAGACAACUUGCGUAGAGUUUUUAUUGUUCUCCGUCCAAUCCCUCUUGAAGUGACCCAUCUUGUGACACUUAUAGCACUUAUACUUUGUCUUGUUACCACUGUUUUAGCUUCCUCAGUUACCUCUACCUCCGUCAUUCCCUCUUGAAACGCUUAGGCCUUCACUAUUUUUCAUUCGCUCUCAAGUCCUUGGACUUGGUCAACUUCUUGGUUCUUAAAGCUGCUUGGACUUCCUCCAAGGUGAUAGUGUCUUCUUUUCCAUAGAGGAUGGUAUCCUGGAAGGAUUCAAAUGAUCUUGGUAGAGCACACAACAAGAGUAUAGCCUUGUCUUCAUCCUUAAGAUGCACCUCAAUGUUCUCUAAAUCAUAAAGGAUUUUGUUGAACGUCGUUAGUUGCUCCAUUACGGUCUUUAACCUCACUAUCUUAAAUGAGUAGAUUUGUUGAUUUAGGAUUUGUCUAUGAGCCAAAGACUUUGUCAUAUACAAAGACUCCAACUUUGCCCAUGCCGAUGUUGCGGUACGUUCCUUCACAACAUCCCUCAACACUUUAUCCCCGAGGCACAAUACAAUAGCACUCAUUCCUUUGUCCACCAUCUCGGCCUUCUCCUCUUGUGACAUGGUGAUCGGUAACGCUCUUUCGCCCUUCAAAGUUUUCUCACACUUUUGUUCUAUCAAAACCGCUUGCAUCAUCACCUUCAUGUUGCGGUACGUUCCUUCACAACAUCCCUCAACACUUUAUCCAUGAGGCACAAUACAAUAGCACUCUUUGCUUUAUCCACUAUCUCGGUCUUCUCCACUUAUGACAUUGUGUCCAGUAAUGCACCUUCACCCUUCAAAGCUUUCUCACACUUAUGUUGUAUCAAAACUGCUUGCAUCUUCAAUUUCCAUAACUCAAAAUCGUUACUUCCAGUGAACUUCUGAAUAUCUUACUUUGAACCCAUGGUACUCACUUAACCAAUUCACUACUUUGCGCCCCAAUGGGCGCCAAUUGUUGUUAAUGCAGACUCAAAAUCACACCAAUAUAAAUAUGGUGUGUGGAGCAAAGGAAAGUAGUAAUUGAUAUCAAAGUAACCUCAAGCAACAACAAUAUCAAACCUAGAUCUAAUUUAGGAAUCAAGUGAAAAGCACAAAACCACAUGCAACAGAUAAAUAGAGAAGAGAAACAAAUACACACCAAUAAAUGUUUACCCAAUUCAGUCCAAAUUGACCUACUCUGGGAGAGAGAUUGAUCUUUCCAAUCCACUAUCAAUGAGUUCUUACAAAUAGAUAUACAAGGGUUGCAAUAAAUUAGCUUCAACAAGUUCACAAAGAACAAACCCUAAUUUCUACCCUUUUUCCAAUCACUCCAAUGAACAAGUCACUAAAUGAUUUUCACUCACCCAAGGUGUUUACAAAUGUUUCCCAAUCCAAGAGAACCCUCACCAAAGACCCGCAACCCUAUAGUUACCUCCUUUGAUUUUCCAAAUUUCUCUCUCUUCACUUUUCACAAAUUUCAUUUUUUAGUCAAAAUUGCUACACAUUUGUUCAAAACUAGUUUCAAAUAGUUUGCUAAAGAGCAAUGAUAUUUGUACAUCCAUUCCAUGACAACUUUAGUGACAACCUUGUUUUUCUCUCUUCUUAUUGGUCAAAAACAAUGGAGAGAGAAAAAGGAAGAGAGAGGAUAAAAUCAUAAUGUGAGUAUGAGAGAGAAAGUUGUACAAAAGUUGUCACAAAUUGGUUGUACAAAUAUCAUUUCUCUUUGCUAAAAAAUUCACAUGUAUUGUCUCUCACAUGGAGUGGUACAAUAUGUGUAUGAAAAAAAGUGUGUACAUAAAACAUUAUCCUUUUAUAAAUCACAAUACAUAAAGCAAUAUGCCUUUUAUCCUUCAUUGAAACUUGGGAGUCACCCUUUGAUAUCAAUUCAAUAUUAGUCAUAUUCAUGUUUGAAGGAAAAGUACCAGUCGAAAGCCAUACACAACAUUGAGAAAUUUUUUUUUGACCACAUAUAAGCCACUCAAACCUUCUACCACCAAGAGUAAAAGAAAUAGAGUCAAGGGAUCCACUUGUUUAAGAUCCUUUGUAUGGACACUUUUUCGUUCAGAACUAGUUAACAAGGACCAAAAUAUUUGUCGCAAAACCCAAAUCUCUUCAACAUGUAGUUUAAGAAACACCAACUAACAAAAUCAUUCUUUUUCUCAAAGUCGACCUUAAAAAUCCAGCACCCCCUUCUUUGAUCUAUUGGUUAAGUAAUUUAUGUUUUUCCUUUUUUUUUAAUAGUAGAUUUAUGUUUUUUUUUCCUAAAACUCUAAAAAUUAAAUGCAAUCUAUCUACUAUCAACAUGCAAGGGCUGAAGAUCAGGCUGCCUUUUAUUAUUGAAAAAAAGGGAUCAAAUAUCCAUUGAAGUUAAAUAUUUUUAUUUGAUAGUACGAGAUUAAAAAUAUAUCUAAUACUAAUUUUUAUAGAAUUUAAAAACCGUUUGAUACUUUUGAAGGUUUUCCUAGACUUAAAAAGUUGGAGACAUUAGACCUUUCAUGGAAUGGUAUAGAAAGUAGCAUCUUACCAAGUUUGAAUGGAUUAGCUGCUCUCAAAACUCUGAAUCUCAGUUAUAAUUCUAUGCGAAACUUCUCCCCUCAAGGUAUGUUCGUUUUCUAUAAUUUAUUUACUACAUUAUCUGUUGAUGGAAAUUUUGUAUGUUUAGUUGUAGUUUUGAUGUCUUAUAUUACUCAUGGAUUCAAUGUAUAUUUUCAAAAUUGUACCGAUUGACUGAUGUGUUUUGGUUGUUUACUUUAAUCAAAGAGACUACUUUUUCCAUCAUUAGAGGAAUUAGUAUUUAAAUCUGAACUAAGAGAGAGAGGUGUCCAUCAAAACUAUUUCUCCAUUCAAACAAAAAAAGAAGAGAAGUGUCCGUAUUUAAUACUGUUCAGGACUGCUCAAAGGACUUGCUUUAAGCAGUCUAAGAGAGAGAGAGGUGUCCAUCAAAACUAUUUCUCCAUUCAAACAAAAAAAGAAGAGAAGUGUCCGUAUUUAAUACUGUUCAGGACUGCUCAAAGGACUUGCUUUAAGCAGUCUAAGAGAGAGAGAGGUGUCCAUCAAAACUAUUUCUCACAUCACUAGGGAGGUGUUCUUGCAAGCAUGCCACCAACAUGCUCACAGGACGUUGUUCUUCUGAUUAGGUAAGAUUAGUGGCCCUGUAUGUGGAAAUUUAGAUUUCCCCAUCUUUUUAUUUUUAAAUAAAGAUUCUCGAAAUGUCCUAAUCAGAGCAUAAUACUAGACUCCAAGCAACAAGAAAAAUCGAGGAAGCGCCACGUUAAGCCUUGGGUAGUCACGCUGUCUCAAGCGUCCUAAUCAUGUAUGUCUACACCAUUUUUCAAUGGCGAGGCGGUCAACCAAACAAUCAUUGGGGGUAAGAUAACGUCCAAGUGUACAAAUAUCACCAAGCAAUUAUAUCAAGUUCACAACAUCACAUCAAUUCACAUAAAUCACCAAGGUCACAUAAUCAAUUAUGAGACAUUUCACAUGAUUCAUAUGCAUGUAAUUUUCUAGACACGACUCUUCAUGCAUGUGGUACCAUUUGGAUAUCAGAUUUAUUUUACCAAUUGAUCCGCUAUCGACAAUAAUCAUCACCAAUUUUCCAUCAACAAUAGCCAUCAACAAUAGGACUUGAUCAUGUAUGCAUGAACAUAUGACUUAACAUCGCAUAUAUUCAUAAACUAUAAAGCAAGUCAUCAACCAUCAACAAUUUUCCUCUUAAAAAAAAAAAACCAUCAACAAUAUUCAUCACUGAUUUUCAUCAACCAUAUUCAUCAACAAUAUAUACAUAUAUACAUCACUAAAUCAUACAUAUGCAUACACACCAUCAUGAACUUAUUAUCAUUAAGAAAUCAUCUUCAGCAAAAUUAUCAUCACCAUUUAUCACAACAAGAACAACGAUCACUCAAUUAGCAAUUAUCUCAUUCUAUACGAACAACCAAUUUCUCCAAGUUAACUCACUUUUCAUGAAUACAUGUCAUCACUAAAACGAUCAUAAAAAAUCACCUAGAUAGUAAUUCAUAAUCAUUUACAUGUUAGCUUGGUAUAAUUCAUCAGUUGCCAAAGCCCGUCUAGUCAUACUUUUAUCAAAGUUCGUCUAUUUUUCACCAUUUCGUACAUACAAUCAAUUUCAAUCCAAAGCCAAGUUAAAUCAAGCUUAGGUACUUAACUAUACAUCAAUUCAUUAGGUUUAGGUGUUUGGGAUCUAUUAAAAUGCGUUUCGACCUUAAAAAUACACAAGAUUUGGAGUUCUAGGACCCUGCAGAGGCCGCACGGUCGUGCCCUCUACACGCACGGUCGUGCUGACCAAGUGCCAGAGAGACGCACAAUCAUGCACGACUAUACCAGCACAAGAUUUUCUAUAAAAGUUGUUUCAUGUGCAGGACUUUGUUUUCAAAACCGUUUUUCGAUCCAUUUCGCGUCAAACAACCACAAUCACUUAAACUACUCAUGUCCUACUUUAUAACAUAAUUUUCAUCUCAAAACAACUUAAGUUUAAUUACCAAAACAUCACUUAUUUCACAUAAGUACUUAAAACGAUUUUUGACUUAAAAACCCACUUUUAUUCAAUUCAAUUCCACAUAUAUCAGUUUUCACAACCAACAACAUACUCAUAAUGCAUGUAGUUAUGAAGUUACAAUCAAUCGUUCUUUUGAAUCAAACUUCUAUGCCUUUUCCUUAAACUCUUUUAGAAACUAUUUAAAGAUCAUUUUUGAAUCUUUAUAUCUUGUAGUCUUUAAUGAAUCAAUGAAAAAAUUGGUUAAAGGUUCAUUAUCAAUAUGAUUUACCUGAGAACAGAGAUGGUCGAGAUUAGUAUCAUAAAACUGGAGGAAUAGAAUCAAUGAACAAUGUAUUGUUCAAAAUAAAGUUUUAGUUGAAUAUGAUUCAUAUGAAGAAAAAAAAAAUUAAUUAAUUCUUUCAAAAAAACAAGAACAAGAAGUUAUGUAACAAGAUACUCAAGGUAUGUAACAAAACUCAAUUUGUGUUUUGUCACAUGACUUUAAGAGUUAUGUUGUGUACCUUUCAACUACUAAUCUUUUCUUCCUCGAAUCUUUAAGACUUUGUUGAAAACCACAGUUCAUCUUCUUGUUGAAUCUUCAAUCUACACUCUUUUGAUUCAAUUAAAUUUUUUCUAUAUCUUCUUUGAGUUUGUGAUGCUACUAUUUUGGUAUUCUUCCACAAAGUAUAUAUAUGCACUUGUAAGAGACUUUUUUCUGGUUUACUUAUGUGAAAAGACUUAAGUGCAAACAUCAGUAGAUCAUUAUUCAUAAAACUUAGCGUUUAUUCCGUAAUGUUUGUUAUCAUUAAAACAUUCAUAAAAAAAAAAUUUGCUUCAAUAACUCAUUCUUACAAAACCGGAUUGUAAGGUGAGGAUUGUCUAUUCUUUAUAAACUCUUAUUAAGAGUCUUACCUAUCUGAUGUGAAACUAAAUCCACUACUCCAUCAAAACCAACCCAAGGCAGCUUAAAUUUCGCAAUUAGGCGACUAGAGGCGGACCACAGUAAUGACGGAAUUUCCUACUAAAUCAGAAGAUUGUUUUUGAAGCUAGGCUGAGACCAUAGAGGAUGAAUCUAGCUCAAUACAUAAGUUAAGUCAAUGAUUAACAGAUGCCGGUUCAAUAGCUCUCAACUCCAGGAAGUCUAGCAUGAAAAGAAGACGUGACACCAAGAUUGGAUUAUUCUUAAAAGCCCCAUCAAUUAUUUUAUUUUUUUAAGGGGAGCCCUAUCGAUAUUACUUCUUUGAUAAUAGGAGCUUUAGAAUGAUGAAUAUCAACUUUUAAGCUUUCGAGAAUGAGGAAGUCACUGAUAGAGUUGGUUGAAUCCUUAGUUUUAUUUCCUAAAGGGAAUCAUUUGGAAUGAAGGGAGAAAUUGUUGAUUUCCUAGGAAUAACUCUAUUGUUAAAUCUAGCUUGAUUUGUGGAAAACCAAAUAGAGUUGAUGAUGUUUAUUAGAGCAAUUUUCUUUUUUAAAGGAAUUUAUUAUAGCAGUUGUGAUCUCAGUUUAUUGAAAACUAUAUCUCUAACAUACAUUUGUUUUUCUUUUUUACCGCAGAUGUUCAACAUUUGAGAAACUUGAAAAUGCUAAGUUUAUGCAACAAUCAAAUGAACGGCUCACUUGAAGGUAUUAAUAUUACCAAACACAAAUAAUGAAAUUAUUGGUUUGAUUUGUAAAAUAUAUUCUUUCAUGUACACAAUAAAUAUCAAGGUGUUCUAUACCACAUACAAUUUUUGAGUCUUUUUUAUUGAGAUUUGUGGUCUAAUGUUAUAUUAUUUAUUUAUCGAAAUAUUUUAACAUAUUUUUUUUAAAAAGAAUCAAAAUAUUUUAACAUUGAAUGUGAACAAAAAAUUAUUAAUUACAAACGGUGACAGUUCGACAAUUUAUAUAGAUAUGUGUUUAUUUAGACUUAAAUCUAAAAUUAUAGGAUCCAUAUUCAAUAUCUAAAAUUAAGAAAUUCUAAAUCCAAGGAAAAAAGAAGAAAAAAACAAAAUAAACAAACUGCAGGAAAAGCCGCAGGAAAUGACUUUAGAAAAACCGCAGUAAAAUCCGCAGCAAUACCUGUGGAAUUUCCUAAGGAAACGUUCAAAUAAUAUUCGUCAAUGGUUCUGCAGAUAGAAGUUACCUGCAGAUUUUCCUGCGGUAUCUGGAUUCGCAGGAAAUUUGAUAUGACUAACGUUAUCCGCAGCAAAAUCCUCAGGUAUUCCUGCGGAUUUGUUACCGCAUGAAAAGCCGCAGGAAACUGGACAAAAUAAUAGCAUGAUUUCAUAAUUGCUUCAGGGAAUACUGGGAAGAAUAAAUUAUUACAAUAAAUAUACAUAGCUUUCUAACUUAUUUUAACUUUUAAGUAAGAUACAAAUCAAACAAAUCAAAUCUCCACAACUUUGCAUUCAUAGAAGUAUAUAUAUGCUUUACAAUAACAAUAUAUAUGCUUAAACAUAUGACAGGACUAUGCAAAUUGAAGGAUUUGGUAGAGCUAGAUAUCAGCUAUAACAUGUUUAGCGCGCAACUUCCCGAGUGUUUAAGCAACUUAACAAACCUGAAUGUUCUUGAACUUAGCUAUAAUUUGUUCAGUGGAAAUUUUCCAUCCUUCAUUAGUAAUCUCACAUCACUGGCAUACUUAUCCCUCUUUGGAAAUUACAUGCAAGGAUCAUUUUCAUUGAGCACUUUGGCUAAUCACUCCAAUCUCCAGCAUCUAUAUAUUUCAUCACAAAGCAUUGGUGCAAACAUUGAAACUGAAAAGACAAAGUGGUUACCCAAAUUUCAAUUGAAGACACUCAUUCUUAGAAAUUGCAACUUAAACAAGGACAAAGGAAGUGUCAUUCCUACUUUUCUUUCAUAUCAAUAUAGUUUGAUAUUGAUGGACCUAUCCAGCAACAAAUUGGUUGGUUUAUUCCCAAGAUGGUUCAUACAUUCUUCUAUGAAAUAUUUGGAUAUAUCAAUCAACAGUUUAAGUGGUUUUCUUCCAAAAGAUAUUGGUAUAUUCCUUCCUAGUGUUACCUAUAUGAAUUUUUCAUCAAAUAACUUUGAAGGAAAUAUACCUUCAUCAAUUGGUAAGAUGAAAAAACUUGAGUCCUUGGACCUCUCUCAUAAUCAUUUCUCAGGUGAGUUACCUAAACAACUGGCCACAGGUUGUGAUAAUUUACAAUACUUGAAGCUCUCCAACAACUUUCUACAUGGGAACAUUCCUAAAUUUUAUAAUUCCAUGAAUGUGGAAUUUUUAUUUCUCAAUAAUAACAACUUUAGUGGAACACUUGAAGAUGUAUUGGGAAAUAAUACAGGAUUAGUAUUUCUAUCCAUAUCCAAUAAUUCAUUCUCAGGAACAAUUCCUAGCUCAAUUGGGACAUUUUCUUACAUCUGGGUCCUUCUUAUGUCUCAAAAUAUAUUAGAAGGUGAGAUCCCUAUUGAGAUUUCCAACAUGUCAAGUCUUAAAAUUCUGGAUCUUUCUCAAAACAAGUUAAUUGGAUCAAUCCCAAAGUUAAGUGGUUUGACAGUUCUUAGGUUCUUGUAUUUGCAAAAGAAUAAUCUCUCUGGCUCGAUACCAUCUGAACUCUCUGAAGGCUCACAACUACAACUUCUAGAUUUGAGGGAGAACAAAUUUUCAGGUAAAAUUCCCCACUGGAUGGAUAAGCUAUCAGAGUUACGUGUUCUUUUACUAGGAGGGAACAAAUUGGAAGGAGAUAUUCCAAUUCAAUUGUGUCGGUUAAAAAAGAUAGACAUAAUGGACCUAUCACGGAACAUGCUCAAUGCUUCAAUACCAUCUUGCUUCCGAAAUAUGUCAUUUGGAAUGAGGCAAUACGUUGAUGAUGAUGACGGUCCUACUUUUGAAUUCUCAAUAUCCGGAUAUCUUCCAACGAUUUCCUUCAAUGCUAGUUUGUCGAUUCAACCUCCAUGGAGUUUGUUUAAUGAAGAUCUACAAUUUGAGGUGGAGUUCAGAACAAAGCACUAUGAAUACUUUUACAAGGGUAAAGUUCUAGAGAAUAUGACUGGAUUGGAUUUAUCAUGGAAUAACCUAACAGGUCUCAUCCCUUCUCAAAUUGGUCACCUUCAACAAGUUAGAGCCUUGAACCUAUCACAUAAUCACUUGUCUGGUCCUAUUCCAAUUACUUUUUCAAAUCUUACCCAAAUAGAGAGCCUUGACUUAUCAUACAAUAACUUGAGUGGUAAGAUACCAAAUGAACUAACCCAGUUGAACUUUUUAU